rnacentral:misc_RNA from 1 species
GCAGUAUUCUAGUUCCAUCUUGUAAA